UUACUCCAGAUUUUGCGUCAGUUCAGAGGGUUAUCUUCGAGGAACUGCAGUUCUACUAAAUAAUUCCUGAGACACUAUGCAGCACCUGGCUGGUGUGCAACAUAAAGCGGGUCAUUGAGAUCUGGGUUAUUCAUAAAGCUCCGGAACAUGGUCAUGAAAGAGUGUCUCAGCACCAUGGGUGCCAUCCUUUUAUGUCCUACACAACAUGAAACAUGGAGUGGAGUUGGGUUGCAAAGAGGCUUGCAGACAUGGAGCAAUUGUAGUUGCUGGAGGUCACCCUGCUGUUCCAGUUUGAAAUUAUAUAAUAAUUAGACAGAAUGAAACCAGGACACCAAGGAGCUGUGGUGCCACUAUGGUGCAACGUGACUCACAGAGCGCACAGAAAUUGGG